UUCGAAACUGGCAGGCUUGAGUCUUGUAGAGGGGGGUAGAAUUCCAGGUGUAGCGGUGAAAUGCGUAGAGAUCUGGAGGAAUACCGGUGGCGAAGGCGGCCCCCUGGACAAAGACUGACGCUCAGGUGCGAAAGCGUGGGGAGCAAACAGGAUUAGAUACCCUGGUAGUCCACGCCGUAAACGAUGUCUACUUGGAGGUUGUGCCCUUGAGGCGUGGCUUCCGGAGCUAACGCGUUAAGUAGACCGCCUGGGGAGUACGGCCGCAAGGUUAAAACUCAAAUGAAUUGACGGGGGCCCGCACAAGCGGUGGAGCAUGUGGUUUAAUUCGAUGCAACGCGAAGAACCUUACCUGGUCUUGACAUCCACGGAAGUUUUCAGAGAUGAGAAUGUGCCUUCGGGAACCGUGAGACAGGUGCUGCAUGGCUGUCGUCAGCUCGUGUUGUGAAAUGUUGGGUUAAGUCCCGCAACGAGCGCAACCCUUAUCCUUUGUUGCCAGCGGUCCGGCCGGGAACUCAAAGGAGACUGCCAGUGAUAAACUGGAGGAAGGUGGGGAUGACGUCAAGUCAUCAUGGCCCUUACGACCAGGGCUACACACGUGCUACAAUGGCGCAUACAAAGAGAAGCGACCUCGCGAGAGCAAGCGGACCUCAUAAAGUGCGUCGUAGUCCGGAUUGGAGUCUGCAACUCGACUCCAUGAAGUCGGAAUCGCUAGUAAUCGUGGAUCAGAAUGCCACGGUGAAUACGUUCCCGGGCCUUGUACACACCGCCCGUCACACCAUGGGAGUGGGUUGCAAAAGAAGUAGGUAGCUUAACCUUCGGGAGGGCGCUUACCACUUUGUGAUUCAUGACUGGGGUGAAGUCGUAACAAGGUAACCGUAGGGGAACCUGCGGUUGGAUCACCUCCUUACCUUAAAGAAGC
rnacentral:rRNA from 1 species